ensembl:lncRNA GUSBP5 GUSB pseudogene 5
GCUGCUCGGGGACCCCUUGAGGAAAGCCCAGCGACGCCGGGCCAGCGCAUUCUUAUUUUAUGAAGAUCUGGCAAGAGUUAGCGUGCAGUUCUACAUUGUGACAAUUCAUGAGAGCUAAGGACUGGCUGUCUCUUGGGACAAAUAGGCUUUCUUGAGUCUGCAUGAGGCCCUCACCAGAUACAGCCACCUGAUCUUGGACUUCACAGCCUCCAGAAAUCUUUGCUUCCACUUCUAAGUGAGAACAUACAGUGUUUGGUUUUUCAUUCCUGAGUUACUUCACCUAGAACAAUGGCCUCCAGCUCCAUCCAAGUUGCUGCAGAAGACAUUUCAUUCCUUUUAUGGCUGAGUAGUAUUCCAUGAUGCCCUGGAAUACACUUGUGUCAGUGACAAAUGCUGCUUUGCUGUGCUACAUCGAGUACAAGGUAGUGAUAAGACAUGACUGGGAAGCAGUUACCAGAGACAAGCGAGGAUAGGGCUUUGACUGCAUCCUCUGCUGGUGGCUUCUGUAUCCAGUGAUUCAAGUUUGACACACCACACCACGGUGGAUGUGCCUUGUCAUGACACAUCUUCUCAGCAGCACUAGAAGAUACAUCCAAAGUCCUGUGAGCAAGGACACAGCGAGAAGAUGGCUGUCUACAAGCCAGGAAGAGAGUCCUCACCAGAACCAAACCCUGCUGGACUUUGAUCUUGGACUUCCCAGCCUCUAAAACUGUGAAGACAUAAAUUUCUGUUGUUAAACCCACACAGGUCUGUGGUAUCUGUUUAUUAUGGCAGCCCAGUAAGACUAAGACAGGCCAUCACAAGACAUGAAUGUUUUGGACCUUCUCUUGGGCCCUAGUAAACAGAAAUCAGGUACGCAAAAGGGGUAAGCAUAUAAUUUCCUUUAUUUUUAUUUUUAAUGUGUAAGCCUUAGGUUUUUAUUUAUUUAUUUGGUGAAGACAAUCACAUUGUGUACGUACAAUGUAAUUAUAUUGUUGACGAGAAGUUACUUAAAAUUUUUUAAAAAUUCUAAUCGAUUUCUAGAUGUCCAAAUGAGAAGAUAGCAUUUAUAUACCAUCAGAACAUAAAAUA